rnacentral:rRNA from 1 species
GAUGAACGCUGGCGGUAUGCUUAACACAUGCAAGUCGAACGGACUCUUCGGAGUUAGUGGCGGACGGGUGAGUAACGCGUGAGAAUCUGGCUUUGGGUUCGGGACAACCACUGGAAACGGUGGCUAAUACCGGAUGUGCCGAGAGGUAAAAGAGAAAUUGCCUGAAGAUGAGCUCGCGUCUGAUUAGCUAGUUGGUGAGGUAAAGGCUCACCAAGGCAGCGAUCAGUAGCUGGUCUGAGAGGAUGACCAGCCACACUGGGACUGAGACACGGCCCAGAGCCCUCGGGCUGGAGCCAGCAGGAAAUUUACCGGAAUGGGCAAAAGCUCUACGGGCAAAUUCCCUGUAAGGAAACAAGCAGCUUGGGUUGUAAUCCCUUUUCUUGAGGUAGCACAAAAUCACCGGUCCCUAGGAAACCGCUAUCGAUGACUCCGUG